GCGCCGGCGGGUAAGGGUGAAAAGGUGGGGUAAGAGCCCACCAGCGGUCCUGGUGACAGGGCCGGCUUGGUAAACCCCUCCCGGAGCAAGGCCAAAUAGGAGCCGAUGCUGUGGCCCGCAGCGCUUGAGGCUCGGGUAGGCCGCUAGAGGCCGUCGGUAACGGCGGUCCCAGAUGGAUGACCACCACCUGGAUUUUCCAGGUACAGAAUCCGGCUUAUAGGCCGACUCUCUCC
rnacentral:RNase_P_RNA from 1 species